GUCUGUUGCGAGCUGACGGAGUGUCCGUAUGGCGAGAAACGGAGCACACGCCAGACCGUAGGUGACCGUUCUCAGCUGGUACUCUCGCACUUUAUCAUCAGUUGAAUGACGCCACAGGAUCGUUUGAAAUUUGCAGUCAUCCGGAUGCACGAGUAUUUGCCGAUACAUUUUUUCUAUAUCAUCAACGAAGACAUACUGGUGUUGACGCCAUCGAAGGAGUACGUCAGGAAGAGCUGGCAGAAGAUUUGCUCCAAUCAUGAGAUGUGCAUUUAAUGAGUCUCCUGUUCGCGUUCGCUGCGCGUUCACUGGAUGUGAUGUUAGGAGCGCCCAUCUUCUUCAGGCACUUCACUCUCGUCUUCAAGAACGUUCACACGCAUGCCGGCGCGACGAACUGAUAAUCCGGCUCAAAGGACCAAAAAUAUGUUUGCGCGUACGCAUGAAGGAGAGCGCGUAUUUAAAGGCCAAAAAGAAUUGAUCACUCUUUAAAAAAUAACACAGAGUUUACUUUAACACAGUUUAGCCGAUACAGUAAUUUUACAAAAGUUCCAGUAGAUAAGCCGAGAUCGAUUUCAAAGUGUGUUAGCGGUUAAUAAUUGCGGUAAUUUCUAAGCGGUUUGACAGCGGUUUGUACGUACUAAGAUUCGAGAGACUAGCCCCGCAAUUUUGGUGGGCGCUUCUUUUAUCGGUGCGGUACUGAAGCCCCACUAAUUUUUGCUUCACCAAUUAAUUUCGUUUGUUUAAAAAUGUUCGAAGGUGACGCGAGGGCGCCUGUCUUUAUUGGCCGCCCCGUAAUUUGCGCAAAACAAGCACGCACCUGACAUGCGCGAAACGCUCGAUAGCGGGAUCGAUUGGCUUUCGGAAGCCACGUGAUCGAACGGCGCAUGUCUAUUACAUCGAUAAUCAAUGCGGUAAUCGUUGCUUUCGGUUGAGCAAUGUUGUUAUUAUUGACAGCUUGUUAGGAUAAUCCUGAUUUAUCGCCUACUUGUUUAUAUCGAACGAGCCCUUUUUUCCGCGGUUUUUUUUUGCAUAUUCGUGUAAGAAAAUAUCGAUUUUUAGACUGAAAUUAUAGACUUAAACAAUUAUUAAUUUUCUUCUCAAUUUUGAACACAUUAUAAUUGUUGGCUUCAAUUACGGCUGAUCAUUCGAAUUAGUCGUUAAAGAGCCUAAUCCCGAACAUCAAAUUUCUGUAGUUCUUUUUAAAUAAACGUCUAAUUUUGUAA